UCAGUCCACCACAUGACAGUGUGUUAAAUUUAAAUUCUGUUAGUGCUGCACUAAAAGAAUCGUUAGUAAUAAGCUCAUGCAGUGAAGGAACUGAACAAUUGUGGGAACGUAUUUGGGCCGAAAAUGGGUGUGGUACAGAAACCCAGAAAUGGCACAAGUUCAACAUGAAACAUGGAUUAGAUUUUAACGGGGGAUCAAAUCAAGUCUGGAAGUGUUACAGGAUGGAAGAGUGAGCCUACAGAUGAAAAAACACUGAGAGUGCAUUACCAUAAGGUGUGAGGUAAAUUAAUAGAGUAAUGCAAAUUGCCUAAUGAGAAGUACCAUCUUGUGUUAAUGAAUCCAGUACAACAGCAAUCCUUUAUAGUUCUGUCACAGCUAGAAGCCUCAAAUAAUUCUGCUUCUCUUGCUAAAGAACAACUUGUCCUUUAUGUUCAGAGUGUUGGGGAAACUGGGUAUUUAAAUGGCCCUAAAGAUGUUUUAAUUUUGCUGCUAUUGCAGAGAUGAACAUCAUACAUGGACUCUUUAGGUCUUAUCUACCAAAAAAAAAAUUUAUCCAAUAGGAAAGGAUUUUCAUGUACUGGGAAAACAACUAUCAACAAUGCAACAUUCUACAGGUGCUAGUUUAUCAUUCAAGAUCCUUAUGCAAUGAAGUUAAUCUGCAAUUUGUAUGUCCUUUCCCAAGCUUCCACCAGAAGUUGAAUCUAUGAGUCAUGUAAGUUCCAUGAUCAACAAUUGAUGUGUUUAACUGUGUUGUUUUUCUUUUCUCAAUAUAGGUUAAUAGUAACAUUGGAUCUGAAAAGAUUCUUGGUUGGGGCAAGACACUGAAUAAAUUGUAUUGAUUGGAUGGAUGACAUGACAUUGCUAUACUUAAUUCGGAUUCCCCAGACGGUAUUUGAUAUUUAAAAAAUUGAAGUGCAUAUCUGGGCUCCCUUCUUUUCUGAAGCCCCGUUUCCCCUUGACUCAUAAUAAGCCCGUAGGGGGUCAUGCCCCUACUGUACGGUAUAUAUAAAAACAACAUAUACCGAGGUUUGGAGGGCUCUGGCCGGAAAGGGGACGUGGGGUGCCGCUUCGUCCGAUGAUGUGUUCACGGAGGGUGACGUGGCUGCCCACAAAUCCGAACUAAAGGUUAAUCGCUCCUGUAAAAAUGUUCCAAAUCUUCAGCUCUUCUUCCGGCUUCUCUUAGCCAAUCACCGGGUAAUCUCCCCGGUGGGUCAACAAGGCAGUGU